GACGUCGAAGGUGGCGGUUGUGCGCUCACUCGUCAGGAGCGCCCCGGAGCAGCCCCUCCCCGUCCGCGCUCCGAGAGGAAGGCGUCCGCCGCGGCUUUCUCUCCGUCUCGAGGGCGGCGUCCGCGGCCCGCAACGCCGGCUUGUGUGCGGAAGGCCGCGGCCGCCAUGCCUAACUACGUGAACGACCUGUGGCCCGGCUCCCCCCAGGACCAGGCGUCGCCCUCCACCUCGCGGUCCCGGAGCCGCUCCACGUCCCGGAGCUCCGCGCCCGGCUCCCGCGCCUCGAGCCGCUCGUCGUCCCGGAGUCGCAGCCGGCCCCGGCCUCGGCGCCACAGCCGCUCGCGCUCGCGCUCGCGCCGGCGUCAGCAGCGGAAGUACCGGCGCUAUUCGCGCUCGUACUCGCGCAGCCGCUCGCGCUCGUACUCGCGCGGCCGCCGCUACCGGGAGCGCUACCGGGAGCGCUACCACGAGCGCCCGAGGCCGCACCGCCACUCCCGCAGCCGCUCGCGCUACGGCCGCUCGCGGGCCGACGACGCGCUGGUGCCGGGACGGCGCCGCUACGGCUUCGGCCGCACCCGGUACCCGGAGGAGCGCCCCCGGUGGCGAGCGCGGUCCCGGAGCCGAUCGCGGAGCAGGACCCCCUUCCGGCUCACCGAGAAAGAUCGAAUGGAGCUGUUAGAAAUUGCAAAAGCUAAUGCAGCAAAAGCUUUGGGAACAACGAACAUUGACUUGCCAGCCAGCCUCAGAACUAUUGGUAUAGCCAAAGAAAAAAGUCGUGGAACAGCCAUGCCAAGUGGGGCAAAGUUCGAGGUAAGUUACUCUAGUUUUAUUAGGAUAAAUCCAUAGAAAGCUUACUGCCAGGAAGACCCGACUUAGCCAUUUUUAAUUUACCUUGUACUAUCAAGUCUGAUUUGCCAAAAACAAAGCAAAUUUGACAAAUGGCAGUCACACCCAUGAAGUUGGGAGGUAAUGAACUUUAUUUUCAGUCACACUGUAUUAGUACUUUCAUAAGAACACAAUAUAUUGUUGCUGGUACUUUAGUGAUGUCUUAUUAUCAUCAAAUUUUUUCUUACUCUGGUCUUUAUAGACCAAGAGUAUUUUACCUGUAUCUUUCAAUUUCCACAUUGUGUUCCCACAAGUCUGUGCUCAACAUACAGUAUAGUUUAUCUGCUUUAUUUCUGUCUUAUAGAAAUCAUGAAUGUGGUCUCCAGACAAUGAUGAAGAAAAUCUGUUGCUGUCAGAAAAACAAAUGGAAGAUGGAACUAAAAGUCUCAGUGAAAAAUCACCACAGCGAAGAAACAUAGCUUUUAGUGCUAAUAAUUCUGUUGCAAAGCCAAUACAGAAAACAACUAAAGCCGCUGCUGAAGAAAUAUCUUCAGGACUGCCAAAGAUAGAUAA